CCAACAUUAUUUGUAACUGUCCAUCAAAUAUACAAAAACUAGAAAUAAUAUCGAAUAAUAUAUUUAUUCGAUCAAGUGUGAUAAUUAGUUAACAUGGAAAUCUACACCAACAAAGGGGAUCUUUAUAGGGACCAACCGGAGCUCUGCAGUAAGCCGUUGCAGCAGGCCCAAAACGAUAUUUACAAUUAUCCCAGCAAUUAUCGUCAGCCUUUUCAUUCUUCGGACAAAAUGGAACUGGUACCGUUAAUAUCGGACUCUCGCAUGUUUUUCCAGCAACGCAUGUUGCAUAUAUCGCUAUCACAAAUAAAACGUUAUUAUAAGUUCUGAUAACACAAAUAUCAAACUUUAAUUUAAAAUCAUUAUAGCUACCGAGGAGAUAAAAAUCUAUAAAACUGAAACAAGUAAGAAAUUAAAAAUAUUUAUAGAAAAGAAAAAGUACCUAAAAUCAGAGCACAGAGAAUUUUAACCGACUGCUUUUCCAUAAUAAUGUUACUAAUCGUGUCUCUGUUGCCGACGCGAAUCCACCAAAACCGAA
rnacentral:lncRNA from 1 species